AGUGAACGCUGGCGGCAGGCCUAACACAUGCAAGUCGAGCGGCAGCGCGGGGGCAACCCUGGCGGCGAGCGGCGGACGGGUGAGGAAUUCGUCGGAAUCUGCCUGUUUGUGGGGGAUAACGUAGGGAAACUUACGCUAAUACCGCAUACGUCCUACGGGAGAAAGGGGGGGACCGCAAGGCCUCACGCAGAAAGAUGAGCCGACGACCGAUUAGCUAGUUGGUGGGGUAAAGGCCCACCAAGGCGACGAUCGGUAGCUGGUCUGAGAGGAUGAUCAGCCACACUGGGCCUGAGACACGGCCCAGACUCCUACGGGAGGCAGCAGUGGGGAAUAUUGGACAAUGGGCGCAAGCCUGAUCCAGCCAUGCCGCGUGUGUGAAGAAGGCCUUCGGGUUGUAAAGCACUUUUGUCCGGAAAGAAAUCCCUGGAGCUAAUACCUUCGGGGGAUGACGGUACCGGAAGAAUAAGCACCGGCUAACUUCGUG
rnacentral:rRNA from 1 species